CUUUAGUCAGUAAAAGUUGGCCAGCUUUAACGAACAUGUAGAUGCUACGAUGUUACGACAACAAAUAUGAUAUAAUCAGUUAUAAAAAUUUGCCGACUGUUUUCUUUCUACGAUAAAGGCUCUGUGCAUUGCAUGCGACUGCUAGCUAAUUACAAUUGAUGGAUGAAUAUUAUGUCUCUGAAACAUAAGCUCAACACCUCCGAUAAAAGUAAAAUUGAUGGGUGCAGUGAGCUGAGAGUAAGAGAGCUGGACAAGUUACAUGGUUCUCCUAGUAUAUUGGUACUAUUUAAUGUACGUUCAUACUGCAUACUUUAACACGUGCAAACAGAAGUUGAGCCAGCAUGACUCGUUGUAAAACAAAGCAGUUACAGUAAUUCUUGAUUGUAUGUCGCUAACUUUUUCCUAUAUUAACUGAACAGAUUCGUGCCAUUCGUAAGAUUUCCCUGAAGACAAUGGAAAAUAUAAGAAUGAAAAUUGUCGUCGGUGAACAACAAGCGAGAAUUACUGUAAACAGAAAUGGUUUUUGAUACAACCGAAAUCAAAUCUUAAUAAAUCCUGUAAAUAAGAAUUCAACGUAAAACAUAAAUUGCCGUCUACUUGAUAGGAGGUCGGGGAUGAUUGACGGACGAGUGGAUAUAAGAUGUGAACGAAAAUAAAAAGAGUGACGUUGAUAAAACAAAUUUUUUUUUUUUUUUUUAAGUUGCGCGACAAAAUGUGCUGUUCUUACGUUUCGUGUAGUAAACUAGUAGGAUCGUACCACAAGUCUAUCUACAAGAAGAAGGCACAUGUAAAUUCCAAGGAAUUCCAAGGACUUCGUCGAUUCCGCACUGAAAAUUCGUAGCGAACCUUUCGUCUAUUAACUUAAGUAGAAGGACAGGAUAAAGAACAAAAACAAAAACAAAAAAUAAAAAUAAAGAGAAAUCAAGUGACCACGCAGCAGCUGAGGAGGAACGGAUCCGAUGUGGUCUCCAAGUUUACGCCAUGGGUAAUUUUGGUACACGCUGCGAGACGCAUUGGGAAGCUUUCCAAGUUGACUUCGUAGAAAAGAUAAAUGUUUAUGGCAAUCGUGUACCAAAUCUGUUUGUGCAACUUUGUCGCACUGUCUGCGAAAUACUAUCGUUAAAAAUAAAAAAAAACACACAUAAAAAUCUGUACCAAGUUUCAUAGCCGGGCUUGUAAAAAUCAAAAAGUUGAAUGCAACGAACAAACCAUGUACAUAUAUAUAUUUAUCUUUUUGUUGCUCUCCAAAUGUUUCACUUUCCUUCAUUGUCCGGACAGUAAAAAUAAUAAAUCAACAAUACGCGUACGCAACAUGCAAAACAAAAGUCCAUAAAAAAUAAUAAUCGCUUACAUCCCGUCGCGACUGGCAAACGCGAGCGUUUCCACGUUUCCAUUCUCGCGCGCAAAACAUUAUUAAAUCACAACGCAGAAAUUGCAAUUUAUCCGAUUUUCAGGUCGCCACGUAGGUACGUGUUAUGCUCGUGCCAGUCGCGGCUAGGUAAUCUUAAUAUCUAAGAAUCGUCUAGUUGGCACCGUCGAUCGCUUUCCCGUUGGUCACGGUGGUGUACUUUUACAAGUAAAUCGAGUAACGUUCGCUAAUGAGAGUCGUUUAAAUAAUUACUCGCACCGUGCACAUCGGAGGAAAAGCGUCGCCGUCAUCGUCGCCGUCGUCGUCGUCGUCGUCGUCGUCGACGCGACGAUUGCUAAGCGGCCAAGAAGACGCAUCAUCCACAAUCGAAUGAUCUAAAACGAAACUAAAUAAAAGUAAUUUUUGGCUAAGUGUAACGGUGCUUCGUGGUGAGUCCGGGAUAUUAUCGAAUUUGGCGUGUUUCUCAUGUAACGUGUCUCGUGGACCUAUCGUGGGAUACACAGAGGGUGGCGUGCGAUAUUUUCGUUUUUUGUCUUGUGGGAGGAAAAAAAAAAGUAAUUAAAACGACUAAAUCGAGAAAUCGCUACGGGGGAGACACGGGUGUGGAACGUAAUGCGAGAUUAACGAAUUUCUUCCAGAGAAGAUGAAAGAACGAGAGGCAAUCGCUAUUCGAUAGCUGCACAGAACUUCCGUGGCAGUUGGAUCAUCUCUGACGAAUCCUUCGAUUCGAAGUUAACGUCGUUUAUGGCACUUGGAUGGUGCGAUUCGUCGAUUUUUCGAAUGUUCGAUGUGUCCUCGAGAGUCAUUCGUGGACGGUAGAUUUGCGUGGGAACAAUUCAACGAACAGUCGCAUAAAGUCUUCAACGAAUUGACACUCACGUUCCACAUACGUGCGGACAAUGUGACGCAUAAUAACGGAAACGACAAGAAACGCAACGAAAAGGAUGUAAAAUAAAAGUUCUACUGCAAGUUCUACCGCGCUUGUUGUAACAACCCUUUUCAAGAAUUUUGAUUGGUUAGAGACACUUUUCUCGUCUAAUUGUAAGACCGUCCUCUUUUACCUCAGCUCUUAUACUAUCGCUGCAAGUUUUAACAUUCCUGUGUGACGUGGUUAAGGUUGUCAAAUGUCUUUUUUUAGAAAGGUCGUAAUGGGCGAAUUCAAUAUGAUAGAUAAACAUAUUUUCUUGCGAACAAAUUAGUAAUAUUGAGCAGUUUGGUAACUAGACUGCAGUAUGAUUUAUAUAUAUGUAUCGUUAUUAGACUAUAUUAAAUAGACUAACUGCCAAAUUGCACUACGCGAUUCACAGAUUGAUUGCAUGGUUAACAGAAACAUCAUGACUACCAAUUAACUCUUCGUAUCUUUCAAACGAGUAACUCUACAGCCCCGACCAUUCAAAAUUCAUGAAAAGAACUAUUGACGUUUAUGGUAAUUACCUUCGAUUCAAUGCGAUUAGUCUGCUACUUUCCUCGAUAAGUGUGUAUACAUUCUGAGGACGAUUCCAGGCCACUAACAUAUCACAUUUUCGUUACAACGCACGAAGCGCCAUUUUUUUCUUUUUCUUUUCAACUUUUCAGCAACAACGUCGCUGACAUCUAGGCGAUUGCGUUCACCCAUUCGCGCUUCUCCACCACUUUUUUUCGCAUUCUUUCACGUGUUUCUUCUUUCUCUUUUCUGCGUCGUUGUACCGACGCCAAUAAAAGCUCAGAGCACGAAAUACGAUCGUUUAAAAGGAAAAUAAAAAUAAAAGAUAAUCGGUAUAGAGGAAACCGUUGAAACGUUGCAACAAAAAAGUGGUAAAUGUUUGAGAAAUUAAAGUAACAGAUGGAAUUUACUAGAAUGUUAUUGCAGUUAAUGGAUGAAGCUUCGUACAAGAAACUCGCUCGGUUUUCUUCGCGCAAUCGUUACAUCGCAAGGAAAAAAACAAUCUGACAAAAUUUCGCGUCGCGAACAAUGAACGACGCUGAUUCUCGAAAACGGACAAACGUCGAGCUUUCGUCAUUCUCGUUCAUCGUCACGACGUUUCGAUGCGUUGUUUUGUACGUUGGGUGUGUAAACACGAACGACUUUUCGAGAUUCGACGUCGUCGAUUGUCAUGGCCGUAUCGAGCCGUGCAAAUACAGAGUCAAAGUUUCAUUUUUGUUGAUUCGUUCUGUUUGUCAUAGAUUCGUUUACUGCAGAGAUGGGCCAAAUUUUGUUAAAUAAUUUAAGAAUGUAUUUAUUUAAAUACUUCAAAUUUGUUCUUAGUUUUCUUUAUUAGUUAUUCGAAAUCUUGAAUCUGAAUAAGAUUUUCGCCCGUCUCUGAGUUUACAAGACCGCUGCGCGACGAAUCUCGCAAAGCGAACGCGCACAAAACGAAGACGUGAAUGCGUGUGUGAGACAAGUCGGUACAGCGAGACUUAAAAAUCCUUCAAUUAUAAUCUAUUGAACACCGUUCUUUUUAUUAUCGAUAGUCAUAAUCAAACAAUCAGUGCAUAUAAAAUAUACUAAGUCUACCCAGCGUCAGAAAAGACUCGUCUUCUCUAAAAAGUUCCCUAUAAAAUUUCACCUUAUUAUUUUUUUUUUUUUCGUCUUUACACUCAUUUUUUCGACAAGGUCUCACUUAUUUGGCACUAGAUUACGAUCGUCGGGCGCGUCUUUUUAAAAAAAGGGAUAUACACACGCGCGCCUGCGAUCGUGUAAUCAUAACAAUUUACUUAUUACUUCUUCUUCGUCAUCUUUCUUUCUUUCCCUCUCUUUUUUUUUUUUCAUUUUUCAUCGUCAUUAUUUAUGUCGCUUAAAAAGGCACCAAAUCGGGGAUUACACCGCUACAUGUUAUUGGAUCCCACUGAAGUACGUUAAUUCAACGUAUAUAUAUAAAGUUAAAAGUCAACCACGUAUUCUUCAUUUCUUUCAUAUUUUUUUUUUAACUCUCAUUUUCUGACGCAUCAUUUCAAAAACUGCAACGACGUUAAUAGGUAUUAUCAACUAGCGCUAAAAUAUAUUCGAUAUAACUUUUGUUUAUAUAUAUAUAUAAUAUAUAAUAAUGAUAAUAAUAAUUGUAAUAAUAUUAAUAAUAAUCGCAAUAAUAAUAAUAAUAAUAAUAAUAAUAAUAAUCAUCAUCAUCAUCGCAAUAAUAAUAUUAAUAUAUACGUACAUAUACAUACAGAUGUGUGUGUAUAUAUGUAUAUAUACAUACAUGUACCAUCUUUUACACCAGUUCGCGUAUUUUUGUAUAUGUGUCUCUCUCUGUAGGUGUUUGUGUACAAUAUGCGUGUAAUUUAUUUGCGAUAAUAAACUAUGAUUCUUUUCUUUUUUUUAAUAUAUAUAUAUAUAUAUAUU